rnacentral:rRNA from 1 species
UACGGAGGAUGCGAGCGUUAUCCGGAUUUACUGGGUGUAAAGGGAGCGUAGACGGCUGUGCAAGUCUGAAGUGAAAGCCCAGGGCUCAACCCUGGGACUGCUUUGGAAACUGUGCAGCUGGAGUGCAGGAGAGGUAAGCGGAAUUCCUAGUGUAGCGGUGAAAUGCGUAGAUAUUAGGAGGAACACCAGUGGCGAAGGCGGCUUACUGGACUGUAACUGACGUUGAGGCUCGAAAGCGUGGGGAGCAAACAGG